UGGGGAAUCAUGGUCAAUGGGCGAAAGCCUGAACCUGCGACGCCGCGUGAGUGAUGAAGGUCGUAAGAUCGUAAAACUCUUUUCAGGGAUCUUAAAGCCUGUCUGUCAACAACAGGCAGGUCUGACUCUCCCUGGAAGAAGCCCCAGCCAACUACGUGCCAGCCGCUGCGGUAAUACGUCGGGGGCGAGCGUUAUUCGGAAUUACUGGGUGUAAAGGGUAUGUAGGCGGCCCUUCAAGUCGCGUGUCAACGUCCAGUGCUCAACGCUGGG
rnacentral:rRNA from 1 species